rnacentral:lncRNA from 1 species
AGGGCGCCGGUGGAGAUGCGGCCGCCGUUCGAGUUCGUCGCCAGCACGCCGCCGAACUCCGGGGCCACCUCGUCCUCAACGAGCCGGUAGCGCCACUUGUCAGCACGAGCAGCACCGCCGGCAACACCAUCCUGCCGCCGGCGAACGUGGCGAGGAGGAGGGCGACGGUGGUGGCGAGGAGGAGGACGCGAGGGGCUGGCUGGCCGGCAUCGUGCACCGGUUUGGUCUGCUUGUCGUCGGCAAAUU